rnacentral:rRNA from 1 species
GGGUAGUUUGACUGGGGCGGUCUCCUCCUAAAGAGUAACGGAGGAGCACGAAGGUUGGCUAAUCCUGGUCGGACAUCAGGAGGUUAGUGCAAUGGCAUAAGCCAGCUUGACUGCGAGCGUGACGGCGCGAGCAGGUGCGAAAGCAGGUCAUAGUGAUCCGGUGGUUCUGAAUGGAAGGGCCAUCGCUCAACGGAUAAAAGGUACUCCGGGGAUAACAGGCUGAUACCGCCCAAGAGUUCAUAUCGACGGCGGUGUUUGGCACCUCGAUGUCGGCUCAUCACAUCCUGGGGCUGAAGUAGGUCCCAAGGGUAUGGCUGUUCGCCAUUUAAAGUGGUACGCGAGCUGGGUUUAGAACGUCGUGAGACAGUUCGGUCCCUAUCUGCCGUGGGCGCUGGAGAACUGAGGGGGGCUGCUCCUAGUACGAGAGGACCGGAGUGGACGCAUCACUGGUGUUCGGGUUGUCAUGCCAAUGGCACUGCCCGGUAGCUAAAUGCGGAAGAGAUAAGUGCUGAAAGCAUCUAAGCACGAAACUUGCCCCGAGAUGAGUUCUCCCUGACUCCUUGAGAGUCCUGAAGGAACGUUGAAGACGACGACGUUGAUAGGCCGGGUGUGUAAGCGCAGCGAUGCGUUGAGCUAACCGGUACUAAUGAACCGUGAGGCUUAA